rnacentral:rRNA from 1 species
GACGAACGCUGGCGGCGUGCUUAACACAUGCAAGUCGAACGAAGAGCGACGGAAGCUUGCUUCUAUCAAUCUUAGUGGCGAACGGGUGAGUAACGCGUAAUCAACCUGCCCUUCAGAGGGGGACAACAGUUGGAAACGACUGCUAAUACCGCAUACGAUCUAAUCUCGUCAUCGAGGAUGGAUGAACGGUGGCCUCUACAUGUAAGCUAUCACUGAAGGAGGGGAUUGCGUCUGAUUAGCUAGUGGGUGGGGUAACGGCCCACCAAGGCGAUGAUCAGUAGCCGGUCUGAGAGGAGGAACGGCCACAUUGGGACUGAGACACGGGCCAGAAUCCUACGGGAGGCAGCAGUGGGGAAUCUUCCGCAAAGGACGAAAGUCUGACGGAGCAACGCCGCGGGAGGGAUGACGGCCUUCGGGUUGUAAAGCUCUGUUAAUCGGGACGAAAGGCCUUCUUGCGAAUAGGGAGAAGGAUUGACGGUACCGGAAUAGAAAGCCACGGCUAACUACGUG